AGGAGGUCCGCUCUUCAUGCAUCCCUCCCAAAGCUGCACGUUCCAUCCCAGAAGAUGACCUUCCCUGACAGAGGAGGAUGAUUCUUCCGUAAGGAUCUAUGAGUAGCUGCUCUCUCCUGCUAGAACUUCCAAACAAGCUCUCAAGAAGUGAGGCAUAGAGAAGAGCCACUUGAUCAUGGUUCACAAGCACAUAUUUAUCACCUGAGGGUAUAUUCUUU
rnacentral:snRNA from 1 species